GGCUACAUUCCCCACAUCAGCAUCGUUUUGAUACGGAAUUGUUGCAGUAUAGAGGAAACAGAUUUGACAGCAGGAGAGAAUAACCAAUCCAGGCUGAGUUUGUUUUUCUAAAAAAAACAAAUGUGGGAAUCUUCGCAGCUUCAGGACUCUGGCUUAAAGAGCAGGAGUCCCAGAAGGAGAAUACCACAUGGCAAAGAAUUGAAGGUAGCCUCUGGCAAAGAGCUGGCAAGGAACUGGGAUGUCAGUCAUGUCAUCAACCCAUGAAGAAUGGAGUCUCCUCAAGAGCCCUCAGUGUGAGUUGGAAGCACAUACUUCCUUAGUUUUUAUGGAUUUGACUGAAUGAGGACAUAUUUCUAGAGAGAGAAGAGCUGUACUUUGAAGAGUGAAACUGUAAGAGGAAGAGGAGCAAUUGCCUGCUUUUGCACCAUGUCCCUGCAGUCCCUGUAGUCUUAAGCACACAGCUCAUACUUCAACUCACCAAUUUCUUUCUUUGCUCUUGGAGCAGGCUUGAAAUAAAAAUAAAGAAUUACACUGAGUUAUUGGUCUAUUAAAAGGAGGAAUAUCUGGUGUUGGACAAGGACAGGACAAUCAAACUGAGAUGAAGAGGAUACUUUGCUACCUUAUAAAAGGUAACAAAAUAGACUGCACACAAGUCUAAAUACCCAUAAAGAAAGAUAUAGGACUCCAGAGAUAUGUGUGUAUUUGUGGACAGAAGACAGGGCAUUCAGGAAUGGAGGUCAACAAAGCCAAAUGAUAAUAGCUCAUUUACAAAAUGGUAUUGCAAAAUUCAGAAGGAACUUCUUCCAUUAGUACUUGGGACAAAAAUCUGAUUUGAAUUCUUUCAUCCUUAAGACUAAAUCUAACAAGAGAAUAAAAAUAAAAGAUGCAGUU